rnacentral:rRNA from 1 species
GGGGCUAGCGUUGCUCGGAAUCACUGGGCGUAAAGCGCACGUAGGCGGCUUUUUAAGUCAGGGGUGAAAUCCUGGAGCUCAACUCCAGAACUGCCUUUGAUACUGGAAAGCUUGAGUCCGGAAGAGGUGAGUGGAACUCCGAGUGUAGAGGUGAAAUUCGUAGAUAUUCGGAAGAACACCAGUGGCGAAGGCGGCUCACUGGUCCGGUACUGACGCUGAGGUGCGAAAGCGUGGGGAGCAAACAGG